CCUACGGGAGGCAGCAGUGGGGGAUAUUGCACAAUGGGGGGAACCCUGAUGCAGCGACGCCGCGUGGGUGAAGAAGCGCCUCGGCGCGUAAAGCCCUUUCAGCAGGGAAGAAAAUGACGGUACCUGAAGAAGAAGACCCGGCUACCUACGUGCCAGCAGCCGCGGUAAUACGUAGGGGGCAAGCGUUAUCCGGAUUUACUGGGUGUAAAGGGGGCGCAGACGGCGAUGCAAGCCAGGAGUGAAAGCCCGGGGCUCAACCCCGGGACUGCUCUUGGAACUGCGUGGCUGGAGUGCAGGAGGGGCAGGCGGAAUGCCUGGUGUAGCGGUGAAAUGCGUAGAUAUCAGGAGGAACACCGGUGGCGAAGGCGGCCUGCUGGACUGCAACUGACGUUGAGGCCCGAAAGCGUGGGGAGCAAACAGGAUUAGAUACCCCAGUAGUC
rnacentral:rRNA from 1 species